UUAAGCGACUAAGCGUACACGGUGGAUGCCCUGGCAGUCAGAGGCGAUGAAGGACGUGCUAAUCUGCGAUAAGCGUCGGUAAGGUGAUAUGAACCGUUAUAACCGGCGAUUUCCGAAUGGGGAAACCCAGUGUGUUUCGACACACUAUCAUUAACUGAAUCCAUAGGUUAAUGAGGCGAACCGGGGGAACUGAAACAUCUAAGUACCCCGAGGAAAAGAAAUCAACCGAGAUUCCCCCAGUAGCGGCGAGCGAACGGGGAGGAGCCCAGAGCCUGAAUCAGUGUGUGUGUUAGUGGAAGCGUCUGGAAAGGCGCGCGAUACAGGGUGACAGCCCCGUACACAAAAAUGCACAUACUGUGAGCUCGAUGAGUAGGGCGGGACACGUGGUAUCCUGUCUGAAUAUGGGGGGACCAUCCUCCAAGGCUAAAUACUCCUGACUGACCGAUAGUGAACCAGUACCGUGAGGGAAAGGCGAAAAGAACCCCGGCGAGGGGAGUGAAAAAGAACCUGAAACCGUGUACGUACAAGCAGUGGGAGCCUCUUAAUGGGGUGACUGCGUACCUUUUGUAUAAUGGGUCAGCGACUUAUAUUCUGUAGCAAGGUUAACCGAAUAGGGGAGCCGAAGGGAAACCGAGUCUUAACUGGGCGUUAAGUUGCAGGGUAUAGACCCGAAACCCGGUGAUCUAGCUAUGGGCAGGUUGAAGGUUGGGUAACACUAACUGGAGGACCGAACCGACUAAUGUUGAAAAAUUAGCGGAUGACUUGUGGCUGGGGGUGAAAGGCCAAUCAAACCGGGAGAUAGCUGGUUCUCCCCGAAAGCUAUUUAGGUAGCGCCUCGUGAAUUCAUCUCCGGGGGUAGAGCACUGUUUCGGCAAGGGGGUCAUCCCGACUUACCAACCCGAUGCAAACUGCGAAUACCGGAGAAUGUUAUCACGGGAGACACACGGCGGGUGCUAACGUCCGUCGUGAAGAGGGAAACAACCCAGACCGCCAGCUAAGGUCCCAAAGUCAUGGUUAAGUGGGAAACGAUGUGGGAAGGCCCAGACAGCCAGGAUGUUGGCUUAGAAGCAGCCAUCAUUUAAAGAAAGCGUAAUAGCUCACUGGUCGAGUCGGCCUGCGCGGAAGAUGUAACGGGGCUAAACCAUGCACCGAAGCUGCGGCAGCGACGCUUAUGCGUUGUUGGGUAGGGGAGCGUUCUGUAAGCCUGUGAAGGUGGCCUGUGAGGGUUGCUGGAGGUAUCAGAAGUGCGAAUGCUGACAUAAGUAACGAUAAAGCGGGUGAAAAGCCCGCUCGCCGGAAGACCAAGGGUUCCUGUCCAACGUUAAUCGGGGCAGGGUGAGUCGACCCCUAAGGCGAGGCCGAAAGGCGUAGUCGAUGGGAAACAGGUUAAUAUUCCUGUACUUGGUGUUACUGCGAAGGGGGGACGGAGAAGGCUAUGUUGGCCGGGCGACGGUUGUCCCGGUUUAAGCGUGUAGGCUGGUUUUCCAGGCAAAUCCGGAAAAUCAAGGCUGAGGCGUGAUGACGAGGCACUACGGUGCUGAAGCGACAAAUGCCCUGCUUCCAGGAAAAGCCUCUAAGCAUCAGGUAACAUUAAAUCGUACCCCAAACCGACACAGGUGGUCAGGUAGAGAAUACCAAGGCGCUUGAGAGAACUCGGGUGAAGGAACUAGGCAAAAUGGUGCCGUAACUUCGGGAGAAGGCACGCUGAUAUGUAGGUGAAGCGACUUGCUCGUGGAGCUGAAAUCAGUCGAAGAUACCAGCUGGCUGCAACUGUUUAUUAAAAACACAGCACUGUGCAAACACGAAAGUGGACGUAUACGGUGUGACGCCUGCCCGGUGCCGGAAGGUUAAUUGAUGGGGUUAGCGGUAACGCGAAGCUCUUGAUCGAAGCCCCGGUAAACGGCGGCCGUAACUAUAACGGUCCUAAGGUAGCGAAAUUCCUUGUCGGGUAAGUUCCGACCUGCACGAAUGGCGUAAUGAUGGCCAGGCUGUCUCCACCCGAGACUCAGUGAAAUUGAACUCGCUGUGAAGAUGCAGUGUACCCGCGGCAAGACGGAAAGACCCCGUGAACCUUUACUAUAGCUUGACACUGAACAUUGAGCCUUGAUGUGUAGGAUAGGUGGGAGGCUUUGAAGUGUGGACGCCAGUCUGCAUGGAGCCGACCUUGAAAUACCACCCUUUAAUGUUUGAUGUUCUAACGUGGGCCCCUUACCGGGGUUGCGGACAGUGUCUGGUGGGUAGUUUGACUGGGGCGGUCUCCUCCUAAAGAGUAACGGAGGAGCACGAAGGUUGGCUAAUCCUGGUCGGACAUCAGGAGGUUAGUGCAAUGGCAUAAGCCAGCUUGACUGCGAGCGUGACGGCGCGAGCAGGUGCGAAAGCAGGUCAUAGUGAUCCGGUGGUUCUGAAUGGAAGGGCCAUCGCUCAACGGAUAAAAGGUACUCCGGGGAUAACAGGCUGAUACCGCCCAAGAGUUCAUAUCGACGGCGGUGUUUGGCACCUCGAUGUCGGCUCAUCACAUCCUGGGGCUGAAGUAGGUCCCAAGGGUAUGGCUGUUCGCCAUUUAAAGUGGUACGCGAGCUGGGUUUAGAACGUCGUGAGACAGUUCGGUCCCUAUCUGCCGUGGGCGCUGGAGAACUGAGGGGGGCUGCUCCUAGUACGAGAGGACCGGAGUGGACGCAUCACUGGUGUUCGGGUUGUCAUGCCAAUGGCACUGCCCGGUAGCUAAAUGCGGAAGAGAUAAGUGCUGAAAGCAUCUAAGCACGAAACUUGCCCCGAGAUGAGUUCUCCCUGACUCCUUGAGAGUCCUGAAGGAACGUUGAAGACGACGACGUUGAUAGGCCGGGUGUGUAAGCGCAGCGAUGCGUUGAGCUAACCGGUACUAAUGAACCGUGAGGCUUAACCUU
rnacentral:rRNA from 1 species